AGAGUUUGAUCCUGGCUCAGAACGAACGCUGGCGGCGUGCCUAACACAUGCAAGUCGAACGGAUUUGAGGGGCUUGCUCCUCAAGUUAGUGGCGCACGGGUGAGUAACGCGUAGAUAAUCUGCCUGAUGAUCUGGGAUAACACUUCGAAAGGGGUGCUAAUACCGGAUAAGCCCACGGGGUCUUUGGAUUCUGCGGGAAAAGGGGGGGACUUUCGGGCCUUCUGUCAUCAGAUGAGUCUGCGUACCAUUAGCUAGUUGGUAGGGUAAUGGCCUACCAAGGCUACGAUGGUUAGCUGGUUUGAGAGAAUGAUCAGCCACACUGGAACUGAGACACGGUCCAGACUCCCACGGGAGGCAGCAGUGGGGAAUUUUGCGCAAUGGGCGAAAGCCUGACGCAGCAACGCCGCGUGAGUGAUGAAGGCUUUCGGGUCGUAAAGCUCUGUCGAGGGGAAAGAAGUGUAUUGUGGCUAAUAUCCACGAUACUUGACGGUACCCCUAAAGGAAGCACCGGCUAACUCCGUGCCAGCAGCCGCGGUAAUAC
rnacentral:rRNA from 1 species